CUUGGUGGGAGGUGAACGAAAAUCCUAAGUGUUCUAAGUGUGGAGACUGACUUGGUCUAGCAAGGAGGAGAGGAAUUGCUCUCUUUGAAGAAGAGAGAUUUAAGUUAGAAUUUUCUUUGAAAUUGAAAGUGAAAACAAGCAAAGGUGGUGGUCUAGAGGUAUCAAGAGUGAAGAAUUUCUUGCAAGGAGAAGAGAAACUAUUUCAGAUGAAUUAGCAGAUGGUUCUGGACUUGCUUAGAAGAUGAGAGAUCUGUGGGAAAAAGGAGACAUGGGGAAUUUCUAAAAUAAAUCUAUGUUUGAAUUUCCGAACUGUGUGAAAUUUUUAAUUUCAGAAGUUUAUGAACUGUGUGGAAUUUUAUUUUCAGAAGACUUGUGUUGUAAUAAAGAACGUAAUAUUUUAU
rnacentral:sRNA from 1 species